GUCAAGAUGGGCCGAGCGGUCUAAGGCGCUGCGUUCAGGACGCCGUCCACUCUUGUGGGCGUGGGUUCGAAUCCCACUUUUGACA
rnacentral:tRNA from 1 species